AGAACGAACGCUGGCGGCAGGCCUCAAACAUGCAAGUCUAGGGGGGUAGCAAUACCCACCGGCGGACGGGUGCGUAACACGUGGGAAUAUACCUUUCGGUACGGAACAACUGCGGGAAACUGCAGCUAAUACCGUAUACGUCCUAACGGAGAAAGAUUUAUCGCCGAAGGAUUAGCCCGCGUCCGAUUAGCUAGUUGGUGAGGUAAUGGCUCACCAAGGCUCCGAUCGGUAGCUGUUCUGAGAGGAAGAUCAGCCACACUGGGACUGAGACACGGCCCAGACUCCUACGGGAGGCAGCAGUUGGGAAUCUUGGACAAUGGGGGAAACCCUGAUCCAGCCAUGCCGCGUGAGUGAUGAAGGCCUUCGGGUUGUAAAACUCUUUCGACGGGGACGAGUAAUGACGGUACCCGUAGAAGAAGCUCCGGCUAACUUCGCGCCAGCAGCCGC
rnacentral:rRNA from 1 species